GAGUUUGAUCGUGGCUCAGAUUGAACGCUGGCGGCAUGCCUUACACAUGCAAGUCGAACGGCAGCACGGGAGCUUGCUCCUGGUGGCGAGUGGCGAACGGGUGAGUAAUGCAUCGGAACGUAUCCUGGAGUGGGGGAUAACGUAGCGAAAGUUACGCUAAUACCGCAUAUUCUGUGAGCAGGAAAGCGGGGGACCUUCGGGCCUCGCGCUCUUGGAGCGGCCGAUGUCGGAUUAGCUAGUUGGUGAGGUAAAGGCUCACCAAGGCGACGAUCCGUAGCAGGUCUGAGAGGAUGAUCUGCCACACUGGAACUGAGACACGGUCCAGACUCCUACGGGAGGCAGCAGCGGGGAAUUUUGGACAAUGGGGGCAACCCUGAUCCAGCCAUGCCGCGUGAGUGAAGAAGGCCUCGGUGUAAG
rnacentral:rRNA from 1 species